CGGCGAACGGGUGAGUAAUAUAUCGGAACGUAUCCUGAAGUGGGGGAUAGCCCGGCGAAAGCCGGAUUAAUACCGCAUAAGCUCUGUGGAGGAAAGUGGGGGACCGCAAGGCCUCACGCUUUAGGAGCGGCCGAUACCAGAUUAGCUAGUUGGUGGGGUAAAGGCCUACCAAGGCGACGAUCUGUAGCUGGUCUGAGAGGAUGAUCAGCCACACGGGGACUGAGACACGGCCCCG
rnacentral:rRNA from 1 species